rnacentral:lncRNA from 1 species
CCAGUCCCUGGAAGAUGAAGUUAGUUAGCAUUUGGUGCCCAGCCAGCAGCAAUGUGACUUAGGCUUUUCGUCCUAGUAGGAAUUUGACUCAUUGGGCCUGCAAAAGAUUUUCGUGACAAAUGAAAUAUUUUUCUAAACCAAGGACUUGGGGAUAACUUCAGGGUCAAAGACAUCUUAUCAUAUUUAAGGUUCACGGAUUUUUCUUUACCUCUGAGUCAUUCUGUAGAGCAG